rnacentral:rRNA from 1 species
AGAGUUUGAUCCUGGCUCAGAUUGAACGCUGGCGGCAUGCCUUACACAUGCAAGUCGAACGGCAGCACGGGGGCAACCCUGGUGGCGAGUGGCGAACGGGUGAGUAAUACAUCGGAACGUGUCCUGUAGUGGGGGAUAGCCCGGCGAAAGCCGGAUUAAUACCGCAUACGAUCUACGGAUGAAAGCGGGGGACCGAAAGGCCUCGCGCUAGAGGGGCGGCCGAUGGCAGAUUAGCUAGUUGGUGGGGUAAAGGCCUACCAAGGCGACGAUCUGUAGCUGGUCUGAGAGGACGACCAGCCACACUGGGACUGAGACACGGCCCAGACUCCUACGGGAGGCAGCAGUGGGGAAUUUUGGACAAUGGGGGCAACCCUGAUCCAGCAAUGCCGCGUGUGUGAAGAAGGCCUUCGGGUUGUAAAGCACUUUUGUCCGGAAAGAAAUCCUUUGGGCUAAUACCUCGGGGGGAUGACGGUACCGGAAGAAUAAGCACCGGCUAACUACGUGCCAGCAGCCGCGGUAAUACGUAGGGUGCGAGCGUUAAUCGGAAUUACUGGGCGUAAAGCGUGCGCAGGCGGUUCGCUAAGACCGAUGUGAAAUCCCCGGGGCUUAACCUGGGAACUGCAUUGGUGACUGGCGGGCUAGAGUAUGGCAGAGGGGGGUAGAAUUCCACGUGUAGCAGUGAAAUGCGUAGAGAUGUGGAGGAAUACCGAUGGCGAAGGCAGCCCCCUGGGCCAAUACUGACGCUCAUGCACGAAAGCGUGGGGAGCAAACAGGAUUAGAUACCCCGGUAGUCC